rnacentral:rRNA from 1 species
UACGGGAGUGGCAAGCGUUAUCCGGAAUUAUUGGGCGUAAAGCGUCCGCAGGCGGUCUUACAAGUCUGUCGUUAAAGCGUGGAGCUUAACUCCAUUUCAGCGAUGGAAACUGUAAGACUAGAGUGUGGUAGGGGCAGAGGGAAUUCCCGGUGUAGCGGUGGAAAUGCGUAGAUAUCGGGAAGAACACCAGUGGCAAAGGCGCUCUGCUGGGCCAUAACUGACGCUCAUGGACGAAAGCGUGGGGAGCAAACAGG